rnacentral:tmRNA from 1 species
GGGGAUGACAGGCAUCGACGGUUUGUCCCAUAGAUAUAUGCAAUGUCGAAGUCAUAGGCCUUCGUUAAAACCUAUGAAUGUAUAGAUGCAAACAAAUCUGUACCAAGUCCAUACGCUAACGCGUUUGGAUUCGCACCCGCUGUAGCGUAACCAUUCGCUCGCCGAUGCGACGCUUCUCAUGCUGAUGUCUCAUACGCAUGACGGGGUGAAAUAGCCAUGGGACUCUGGAAUCCUACGUGCCUGUGUUGAAACCCAUCGUCCACCAAAGUUGCUGGUAGUUUUGAGUAAAAAAUGUUGAAGCGGAGGAGGCGUAUAGCUAUACGUCGACCGACAAUGAAACAUGUUUUGCCAAAAAUAGCAGUAACGACGUGGACGAAACAACCACCCAUGAAUACUUCUGGUUGUGGUGGGUUUCGACACAGGCACUUGUUCGGCUAGGAUUUCGAGCUUGUACGAACUCGGUAGUGUGAGCUUUGGCUCAGUUUCCUAUCACAUUACUUAAACCUCAAAGCUGAGCUAUGCAUUGUAGACGUAUGUGUAUGAUCAUUCUCGGACGUGGAUUCAAUUUCCACCAUCUCCACAU